rnacentral:rRNA from 1 species
GAUGAACGCUGGCGGCGCGCCUAACACAUGCAAGUCGAACGAGCGAGAGAGAGCUUGCUUUCUCAAGCGAGUGGCGAACGGGUGAGUAACGCGUGAGGAACCUGCCUCAAAGAGGGGGACAACAGUUGGAAACGACUGCUAAUACCGCAUAAGCCCACGACCCGGCAUCGGGUAGAGGGAAAAGGAGCAAUCCGCUUUGAGAUGGCCUCGCGUCCGAUUAGCUAGUUGGUGAGGUAACGGCCCACCAAGGCGACGAUCGGUAGCCGGACUGAGAGGUUGAACGGCCACAUUGGGACUGAGACACGGCCCAGACUCCUACGGGAGGCAGCAGUGGGGAAUAUUGCACAAUGGGGGAAACCCUGAUGCAGCGACGCCGCGUGGAGGAAGAAGGUCUUCGGAUUGUAAACUCCUGUUGUUGAGGAAGAUAAUGACGGUACUCAACAAGGAAGUGACGGCUAACUACGUG